UGCAAUAUCACAAGGACUCGAAUCUAUAAACAUAAUAAAAUAUUAGAAUUCUAUGCUAUACCAUAGUAGAAUAAUUAGAUGUAUAACUAAUUGUAAAUUUUCAUAUAAUUACCAUACCUCGUGUGUAGACAAAAUUGUUUUUAUAUUUGCCUCGGCUUCCAUUUGUGCAUUCUUGAAAUUUGUAAUGUCUUGUAUCUCCUUCGUCUAAAUUUCUUUCCAAUCUUGAAAAAUGCUUUAUAUAUCCAAAACUACAAAAUGAAAUUGAAAGUAAAUAUUAAAUAUAUACAACAUUAAACUAAAGAAUACAUAAAAAUUUAGUUAAAAAAAUACAUGAAAAGCAAGAUGAUAUUCAUGUAGCGAAUAUUUACACUCCGUUUGCUCAGCUUGUUACAUUCUCAAUAUUCUUUCAAAGUGUGAUUGUUGCAAUGAAUUCAACAAACAAAGUAUGUCUUCUUGCCCCAUGGAUACAAAAGAAAAUCGUCAAACUGCUCAACCAUACCUAGCAUUCUGUAAUCAAUAUGUCUUUCAAUUGGUUUGAGAGCACACUCUAUCAACAUAACCAAUCCAAGUUUGAAUUUAUUUUCUUGAUUUUCACAUAAAUUGAAGGCAUCAUGGAGCAUUCUCAUAGAAAUCCUUUUCACACCAUUGAAAUACUGGUUUCUAAGCCGAGGAUUACUAAAGUCAAGAUUAACAGAUAGUUCGCAGCAAGGUAGUCCAAUCAUUAAGCAAAAUUCUUGCAUUCUGAAACGGGCAAGAUGGUCAUCAAAUCUUACCCACACUUCAUUGUUUUUAUGGAAAUUCACAAUCCUCAUUAUGAAUUCAUGUAUCAACUAGCUACUAAAUUGUUACUCUUCGUCUCUAUACAUGAAUUCAUAUAGAAAUCCAUGAAAAUUACUGCACAUUAAUAAUGCUUGUUCAUCUGCUUGUAACAAUUCUAUCAAAUCUCUAACGUGUUGAUGAUUUGGAUAUUGACGAACAGUAGCACAGAACCAUUGGUCUUGAGAUAAGACAUAAUCUAGAGACAUCUGCAUCAAAUAACAAAACUUAUUUAAAAAUAAUAUUUAGAGAAAUCGUGAUUACAAAUAAAAAUUAAAACAUAUCUUACACAAAUAUUUUUCGCUUUAUCCACAUAACUAAUUAAUAGAUAAAUAUUUAUUGCUAUAAAAAAAUUUACCUCGGAGCAUAUAUAGUUCUGGACAAUCACAUGAGAUUUGGAGGGAUUGGUUGAUUUUAAAGAUAAAUCAAUUAAACUAUAAGAAAAUAUAUGAAAAGUACUCUAAUUAGACAUAAGCUUUUUAGUAUUAGAAAUAAGAUUAUCUAAACAAAAUAUUCAAAUUAUUUUUGGUUUUAUGUUAAUUGAAGUAUCUUUUAAUAAUGAAUAAAGUAAAUCAAGAUAAUAUAGUUUUAGUUUGAGUAUGAUAGGAAAUCCUAUAAUCACAAGUGCUAUAUCAAGUCUAAAGUUAAUUAUACAGCUUAUUACUAGAACUUUUGAUUUAGAUUAACUUUAUUCAUCGGAUUUUAGCACUUACCUACUUGUUUUGCUAUGUCAAUAAGUCAAGAGUUGGCGAAAACCUUUGCUCCAUUUUAGAAAGAAACCAGAAGUUAUCAAUAUGUGCUAUAUCCCUCGACCCUUGCAAUUGAUAAAUACAAGCAAGUUCACUCAUCAUAGCCUAAAUUCCCAGAAAACUCUGAAUCGUGAAGGUUUUGUGCUUACAUUCAUACUGGUAAAAGAUACAAAAGCUUUUCUACUAUGGAAAAUUUAAAGAAUAAAGAGCCAAUAGCUUUAUUCAACCUAACAUACUCAACAAAACAAAACAUUUAUUUUUUAAAAUAAAAGAAGACAGUAUAAACACCAAAAAUUAGCAAUCAAAAUUCAGCUAGACCAUAUUAACACAACAAAAGUCCGUAGAAAAUAACUUUUUCACCAAAAAAUUUUCACAGCAGCAGGAAAACAAAUUAACUACAACAAAAUAACAAAAAUAAAAUCUUGUAGACUAAAUAAUUACCUUGUAAUUUGUUUUCCUGAAAUUGACUUAAGAUUUUGGGACGAAAGAUGAAAAAUCCAGCUAUAAGAAAACUGAAACAAAACUGAAGUUCAGCUAAGAAAUGAAAAAUUCAGCAAAGAAUGACAUUUCUUUUGUUCUUUCUUUCUUUUAUUCACGUGAAACAACUUUUCAGAACUUUCACUUUCACGUGAAUUCUCUUGACUUUGCC
rnacentral:lncRNA from 1 species